GUGAGGAAUCUUGCGCAAUGGGCGAAAGCCUGACGCAGCGACGCCGCGUGGAGGAUGAAGGCCUUCGGGUUGUAAACUUCUGUUAAGUGGGAAGAAAAGCCUGUCCUAAAUAGGGACAGGAAAUGACGGUACCAUUAGAGAAAGCACUGGCUAAUCUCGUGCCAGCAGCCGCGGUAAUACGAGAGGUGCAAGCGUUAUUCGGAAUCAUUGGGCGUAAAGCGCACGUAGGCUGUAGUGUAAGUCAGGGGUGAAAUCCCACGGCUCAACCGUGGAACUGCCUUUGAUACUGCACAACUUGAAUCCGGGAGAGGGUGGCGGAAUUCCAGGUGUAGGAGUGAAAUCCGUAGAUAUCUGGAGGAACAUCAGUGGCGAAGGCGGCCACCUGGACCGGUAUUGACGCUGAGGUGCGAAAGCGUGGGGAGCAAACAGGAUUAGAAACCCGUGUAGUCC
rnacentral:rRNA from 1 species